UACGAAGGGGGCUAGCGUUGCUCGGAAUCACUGGGCGUGAAGGGUGCGUAGGCGGGUCUUUAAGUCAGGGGUGAAAUCCUGGAGCUCAACUCCAGAACUGCCUUUGAUACUGAGGAUCUUGAGUCCGGGAGAGGUGAGUGGAACUGCGAGUGUAGAGGUGAAAUUCGUAGAUAUUCGCAAGAACACCAGUGGCGAAGGCGGCUCACUGGCCCGGUACUGACGCUGAGGCACGAAAGCGUGGGGAGCAAACAGG
rnacentral:rRNA from 1 species